rnacentral:rRNA from 1 species
AACGAACGCUGGCGGCAGGCCUAACACAUGCAAGUCGAGCGCGCCCUUCGGGGUGAGCGGCGGACGGGUGAGUAACGCGUGGGAACGUGCCCUUUUCUACGGAAUAGCCUCGGGAAACUGAGAGUAAUACCGUAUACGCCCUUUGGGGGAAAGAUUUAUCGGAAAAGGAUCGGCCCACGUUGGAUUAGGUAGUUGGUGGGGUAAUGGCCUACCAAGCCGACGAUCCAUAGCUGGUUUGAGAGGAUGAUCAGCCACACUGGGACUGAGACACGGCCCAGACUCCUACGGGAGGCAGCAGUGGGGAAUCUUAGACAAUGGGGGCAACCCUGAUCUAGCCAUGCCGCGUGAGUGAUGAAGGCCUUAGGGUUGUAAAGCUCUUUCAGCUGGGAAGAUAAUGACGGUACCAGCAGAAGAAGCCCCGGCUAACUCCGUG